GCCCUCGUAGCUCAGUGGAUAGAGCACGGCUCUCCUAAAGCCGGUGUCGUUGGUUCGAUUCCAAUCGAGGGCAC
rnacentral:tRNA from 35 species